AUUUCCCAGUGUUUAACGAGACGUUACAUGAAAACUUUUGAACGAUGAUAACAUUCUGAUAAGUAUCACUUUUGUAUAAAGCAACAUUUUCCCACAUUUCAUUGUCCUUUUGUAAAAAUGGUUUUUGAUACAGAUUCUCCUAGCCAUUAUCACACAGAAAAGUGCAAGAGUAUAUAACACAGGAACCAUUGAAUUGGUUAAAUCAGUCAAACAACAGCUUUACUUACAUAAAGCAUAACAUUUAUGACAGGUAAAACAUUACUAUAAUGAGCCAGGUACAGUUUCAAUGAUAUGGAUGAAACUUUUGCUAGCAGAACUUAACGCUUUUCCUCUGUAGGUCAUGAGUCGUCUGCUUUGCCUGCACAGCAUAGGAGAAAUCUGUAUCAAAGGGAAGCGCAGGGGCGCUGUGGGGCGCGGCCCUAACGUUUACCGUUGUUGUACGAGAGAGUCCGCAGGGGUGCUUUGAAGUUUGCUGCUGCCUGUUGCUGAAUCUGAAUAAAUAUCAAAACUGCACAUACCGAGGCACAAACUGUGAUGCUGGGCGUUUGGGUCGGUAUUCCGGGUGCACCAUAAACAGCAUAUGUGGGAAUCCAGUGCCAAAGAAGGCACCGUCGGUGUGGUGGUGUCGUGAGGAUUUUGGGGUGUAGACGUCCAUACACCGAGGACAGUAUAGCUUUACCAUCGCCUCGCCUGGGACAUCUGAUAAACCUAAGAAAGAUAUACCAAAUAUUUUAAAAACAUUAAAAAAUCACUAAGACAAUUAAACUAAUA